rnacentral:rRNA from 1 species
AUUGAACGCUGGCGGCAGGCCUAACACAUGCAAGUCGAGCGGGGUUUUCGGACCUAGCGGCGGACGGGUGAGUAAUGCGUAGGAAGCUACCCGAUAGAGGGGGAUACCAGUUGGAAACGACUGUUAAUACCGCAUAAUGUCUACGGACCAAAGUGUGGGACCUUCGGGCCACAUGCUAUCGGAGGCGCCUACGUGGGAUUAGCUAGUUGGUGAGGUAAUGGCUCACCAAGGCGACGAUCUCUAGCUGGUUUGAGAGGAUGAUCAGCCACACUGGAACUGAGACACGGUCCAGACUCCUACGGGAGGCAGCAGUGGGGAAUAUUGGACAAUGGGCGCAAGCCUGAUCCAGCCAUGCCGCGUGUGUGAAGAAGGCCUUCGGGUUGUAAAGCACUUUCAGCGAGGAGGAAGGGUUGUGUGUUAAUAGUACACAGCCUUGACGUUACUCGCAGAAGAAGCACCGGCUAACUCUGUGCCAGCAGCCGCCGUAAUAC